UAACUGAAGAGUUUGAUCAUGGCUCAGAUUGAACGCUGGCGGCAGGCUUAACACAUGCAAGUCGAGCGGGGGAAGGUAGCUUGCUACUGGACCUAGCGGCGGACGGGUGAGUAAUGCUUAGGAAUCUGCCUAUUAGUGGGGGACAACAUCUCGAAAGGGAUGCUAAUACCGCAUACGUCCUACGGGAGAAAGCAGGGGAUCUUCGGACCUUGCGCUAAUAGAUGAGCCUAAGUCGGAUUAGCUAGUUGGUGGGGUAAAGGCCUACCAAGGCGACGAUCUGUAGCGGGUCUGAGAGGAUGAUCCGCCACACUGGGACUGAGACACGGCCCAGACUCCUACGGGAGGCAGCAGUGGGGAAUAUUGGACAAUGGGGGGAACCCUGAUCCAGCCAUGCCGCGUGUGUGAAGAAGGCCUUAUGGUUGUAAAGCACUUUAAGCGAGGAGGAGGCUACUUUAGUUAAUACCUAGAGAUAGUGGACGUUACUCGCAGAAUAAGCACCGGCUAACUCUGUGCCAGCAGCCGCGGUAAUACAGAGGGUGCGAGCGUUAAUCGGAUU
rnacentral:rRNA from 1 species